rnacentral:rRNA from 1 species
GACGAACGCUGGCGGCGUGCCUAACACAUGCAAGUCGAACGGGGUUGUGAGAGCUUGCCUUCACAACCUAGUGGCGGACGGGCGAGUAACGCGUGAGCAACCUGCCUUUCAGAGGGGGACAACGGCUGGAAACGGCCGCUAAUACCGCAUAACACAGCGGGGUCACAUGGUCCUGCUGUCAAAGGAGCAAUCCGCUGAAAGAUGGGCUCGCGUCCGAUUAGCUAGAUGGUGAGGUAACGGCCCACCAUGGCUUCGAUCGGUAGCCGAACUGAGAGGUUGAUCGGCCGCAUUGGGACUGAGACACGGCCCAG